CCAACCCAACAAACAACCCAACUUUUUACAAAAUUUAUUAACAAAAAAUCUUUUAAUAUCAGUCAAUAGUUAUUAGUUAUUGAUUAUUUGGUAAUAUAUCGAUAUCUCUGUGUUCUCUUAUGUCUGUGUUGUCAACAUUUGAACAUUUUUGAGCGGUCCGCUCUUUCUGACUGUAAACAAAGCCGUUCUCCACCUCCUCUAACCUGAUUGGUUGUGAGGCAGACGCUGCUCCCCCGUGUCGUUCAGGAGCCCAAACAAAGUUAGCGUGCUACAAUAUCGGACAGUAGAAACCAACCAGAAAGUUCGGAAAAUUGUCUGAAUCCUCCUUUGGCCACGACUGCCGACACAAGCAAGAAAACAAAGUAAAUACCGGAGACUCUGGAGGAAUAACGGGCGCUUAAAACGGAGGUAGACCGGACAAGAGCUAAAAAGCCGGGUCAACAUAAAC
rnacentral:lncRNA from 1 species